CAAUCUCAAUAUGUAAUAAAAAUAAUUCUUGUCCUUGUAGUUUGAGCAACGUCAACAUUACGAUUAGACCAUUAAUGAUUUUGAGUCAGCUUCCAAGUUUUUAUAGUUUUAUUUUCCCUUUUCACAAAUGAUGCUCCUUCCUGUGGCUGCUCAGACUACUUCCCUUUAGGCGGUGCCCGAAGGUGAAGUCAGGUGGAAUGUGGUUACCAUUGGGGUGAUGGCAGGAGCACUGAGCUUGGUGCUGUUAAGGUUUGAGCUGUGAGUUACCCCACUUCGGAGCAGGUGACCUCAGGCAGCUACUUGACCAUAGAGAGCUGUGGGCUCUCCUUCCCUAAAGUGGCAGUGAUAAUACCUGCUCUGACAUUCUUCCCUGAGGCUUGUGGUGAGGCUCAAAUGAGAUACUACGCCAAAGUCUUUGUAAAGCAUAGAGCACCAUAAAUUGUAAAGUAGCAUGAGAGGCACUCUCUAGGAGUCAGUGUGCUGAAACCCUGGAGUGUAUUAUAGUCACAAGACUCAUGGGUUUAAGAUGUUCAUUUCUAGGUCCUGCUCCCAGGGAGAGUCUAGUUUAGUAGAUUCUGGGUGGAGCUUAGAGAUCUGCCUUUUAUCCCCCGACACCAUCACUGUCUCCCUUGCCCUGCCGAGUGAUUUCUGUAUGAAUGGUCCAGGGAUGACAUUUAGAGAAAUACCUAAUGUAAGGGUCAAAUAAAACACUUCAGAAGAACUUCAGAAAUGGCCCUUUGGAAGCAUAAGGUAGGUCCCAUAUUUGGAUUAUCACAUAGCUAAUUACUUUAAGUGAUAAGCUUAAAUAAGCUCAUGAACUGAUGGUCUCUUGGAAGAUAUUAUUCAAAUGAGUUCACUACAGAAAAAAACCUGUUUAUUAUAGAAUUGCUCUUAGAGGUGGUUGAAAAUCAUAGAAAAGGUCUUGGUUUUUCCAGGAUACCUCAGCGCCCUCUCAUCCUAUUUUGGGCCAGUGUUUCUGGCUUCAUUCCUUCUCUGACGUGUUUUCUGUACUGAAUGAAUGUCUUCCUUUCCAUUUUGGGGAGAAUAAUAGAGUCCUGUCAUUUUAACAAGGCUGUGUACCAAGCCAUGUGGGCAUGCCACAGACCAGAUGGCUGAGGCUGAAACAAAGCUUCAAAGAUUCUGGCAACCACGGGUGCAUCCAGGAUGGAAAGUAAUAGAGCUGUGGUCUCUUAACAGCCACAAACGAAAUGAUAGGGAUUUUGUCAUCCAGAAUAGAUUGCAUAGGGCUCGCCCUGGGCUAAAUUAUUAAGUCAUUGAAAUUGACUUUGAUGUUUCUCCACCAUCUCCACUUCCUGAUCACUCUUUUUAUCCCUAUCCUGGCCAGGGACUCAGGACCCCCAUUUCGAGAUCCCACCCUGCCCUCUCUGAUGUGCCCAGAACCUGGGAACUUUUUCUUUCCUAUGACAACAUCCCAAUUGUCCACUUGGCUGAGUGUCCCUGGUAUAAGAGGAGGUAGUGGUGGUGCUGGGGGUUGGGGGAUGGGCUUUUCAUUAAUCGGUAUAUUUGUGUUGAAGUUUAAUGUGUCACUCCCCCUAAGGUACUGAGGACUUUUCGGAAAUAUAUUUUAAUCUAGAACUUCUGGGAAUUCAGGAAGCAUCAGAGGAGGAGUGGGGGGUGAAAGAGAAGUUCUCAGGGAGCUGCCUUCCCCAAGCCGCGAUGGUGUCCAAGCACCCUGGGAGAGGUUAGGACUGACAAGCCAUGCACACUUCCAAGGGAUUAAUCUGGGAACUCCAUGGAUCCACUGUUUGGACUCCCUCUAGCCAACCAGCCUCUAUUUCCUGAAAUAGAGGAGCUGCAUAUUUCAUUGACUCCUGUUAGCAAUCACACAAAGAAGAUGUUAUGCUUCCCCUUACGCAGUGGACCACUGGGUCCCUUCAAGGACAGUACGGACUGUGAAGGUUAAAUUCAUCAGAGCCAAGAAUUGACUGUACUGACCCUAAGUCAUUAUGCUAUCCUGAAUUUUGAAAGAAAAAAAUACCCCGCCUCUGGUGGUGGACCCUGAUUUGUUCAAGUCAAUUAGUGUAAGCCCAACUCCCUUGCCGUAGUGAUUGGUUUUAUCAGAACUAAGUCAAUCAGUUUAUGGCAUUUCUCUGGCUGCAUCUGACCUAAUUAAGGGCAGUGAAAAGCUAGAAGAUAUCAGAGGGUUUCUGGGAAAGGAACUUCAUUGUUUUUAUGGGGAUGCAUUUGGAUGUCACUGUUUCUCUCUGAAAAUUGAUAAGGAAGCAUAUAUCCAUCUUUUGUUAGCGGUGAUCUUGCCCCAUAAAGGAGAGCCAGCCACAGGAUGAAACUGACAGCGAAGGUAAAACAAAGACCUAGAGCAAAACUGAUUCUUUGAUAGCAUCAUGGAGCUGUUGAGUCAAAUGAACAGUGAGCCCACCCUACCUCUGAACUUCUAGCUAUGGGAAUAUAUGAGUUAGGAUUAGGUUCAAUUGCAAGUAACUGAAAACCCCAGUAACAGUGGCAUAAACAAGUUAAAGGGCUCUUUCGCUCCCCUGCCCCCAAGGUUAAAAAAAAAAGUCUAAGCAGGUAGUUCAGGGAUAAUAUACCUUCCAACCAGUGGCUUUGCUAUCUUAACACAUAAUGUAUUCCCCUGUAGUCCAAGAUGGCUGCUCCAGCUACUGCCAUCACAUCUGAGUCCAUCAGCAAGAAGGAGAAAAGGGAAAGUCACUUCCCAGAGGACACACCUAACAUUGUAUAUGUCAGACUUAGUUAUAUGGCCACACCUAGCUUGGGUUUGGCUGAGAAAUGUUUUUAUUCCAGGAGGGCGUAUGCCUGGCUGAAAAUUGGGAACUCUUCUGGUAAGGGGUAGAUAUUAGGAGGUAACUAGCCUUCUCAGCCCCUGUGUGUCUUCCUUAUUGUUUAAGGCAGUUUGAAUCGGGUUUCCUAUUAUGCACAAUCAGACACAUACUAAUUCACACCACCCCAUCCCCCCCAAUAACCUUCUAUCUUCAAUCACAUGCUGAUGGAUAAAAAUAAGAAGCCCUUCACUAGAGCAUCCCAAGGUCUUUCCUUGUUUUUCUCCUCAGGCUUGGGACAGCACCUGGCACAUAGAGACACUUGAUAAAUAUUUGCUGAAUUGAACAAAAUUAACUAAGAAGAUUCAAACAGAGAGAGUUCAAUAGAAUCUUGGCAUGGUGGCUUGUCAGCGCUGGCCUUGGGCAAGCCAUAAAAGCUUCUGAGCCUCAACUUCUCUGCCUAUAAAUGAGAGAAGUAAUACCUACCUUCAAAUAUUGUUAUACAUAUUAGUGACAAUGUAUGUAAAGGGCUUAGCAUAAUUCCUAGCAGAUACUGUACCCAAAUGGUGGAUACAGUGUACAGAUUUUUAAAAAAUUAUUAUUAUGUACAUUGUACAUUUCAAAGGAACCCUAAAGUUGAGAAAAGACAUAUUUGGGGAGUGUUUCACACACCCACAAACUCUUCUGGCCAUUUUUCACUCUUAUUCUUGGGAAAAUAUGCCUGCUGGGUUCAAAAGGAAAGAAUAUUUUGAAGAGAUUUUUCAUUAACAUUCUGAAGCCUUCUUAGAUAUCAAAUAGUUAUUUAGUGGGUAAAGUGUGAAUGAAUCAGAACGUAUGUAUUGAAUUUAUCUUGGAACCCUACGUGUGUCAAACCUAACUACAAAAUGUGCUUUGCAUUCUCUUGCUGUCCAAAGGCUGGAAAAACAGCAGGACAUUCUGCUGAACUCAUAAUGACCUUGAACUCAGCAAACAGACCAAAUUGAUGGAAGAACCCUGAGCCACUUGUCAGGGUCUUUACCAUAUCAAGGGAUACACGACCCACUGUGAUGUGAUUCGGGAUCGGCUGUGUUUGUUUUCCUUGGUUUGACUUGGCAACCUGGGAAAAACAGAAUCACCCUCUCUGGCCUCCGUCAAGGUCUGGAAACAAAGAUAGAAUGUUACUCCUGCGAAGAUGGCUUCUUAGAAGCCAUGGGGUUUCACAGAUGCGGAAAGAAUUCGAGGUUAGCUUUUAAGUCAAAGCAUAAAUAAAGCUUUUUAGUAAGAGGAGCUGAAGGCAAGGCGGAAGGCGGUGUUAGAAUGUUAACAGAUCCUCCUCCCAUUUUGGAGAUGAGGAAACUGCACCUUGGCUGGUCUCUGCAGGGCGGGCAGUGAGCUGACAGGGUAGGGGCUGCAAGGCAGGUUUCUCGUUUCACAGUCCAAUACACUCCAGCAAGAAAAAAUGUUAAAAAGAUAAGGAAAAAAAAUGUUUUUAAUCUACGUGCAAAGGCAGCAUCCUGGUUUUAAAGGGUUGCUAGUGCCUUCAAGCGUGUGAGGUGCUUUCACUCACACCCUCUCAGCUGCCCUGACACUAACACAGGAUGCUGUUGAGCCCGCCCGGCCUGAUGUUGCAGAGGAGGGAACAGAGGUUGAUGAUUUGUCCGACGUGGCAAAACUGCUCAGAGGUGUGCUGACUCCAAACACUUCUCUUUCCGCUCUGCAUGUGGGUAUAAAAUAAUCUUGGGUUUUUUUUUUUUUAAAGAAAAAUAGU
rnacentral:lncRNA from 1 species